rnacentral:misc_RNA from 1 species
GAUGAAGAACGUAGCGAAAUGCGAUACGUAGUGUGAAUCGCAGAAUUCAGUGAAUCAUCGAAUCUUUGAACGCACAUUGCACCUCUCGGUAUUCCGGGAGGUAUGCCUGUUCGAGCGUCAUUUGUACCCUCAAGCUCUGCUUGGUGUUGGGUGUUUGUUCCGCCUCUGUGUGUGAACUCGCCUCAAAACAAUUGGCAGCCGGCGUACUUGUUUCGGAGCGCAGCACAUUUUGCGAUCCAGAUCAACGUACAGCGGCAUCCAAGAAGCCUUAUUUAACGCUCUUGACCUCGGAUCAGGUAGGGAUACCCGCUGAACUUAAGCAUAUCAAUAAGCGGAGGA